CUAGAGCAUGCCCAGUGCCUACAGGUUUUAAAAUGUCAGUCCCUGUUUGGUCUGUAAACAUGACAGAACUGUAAAGAAGUACUUGGCAGAAGUUACUGCCGACUCUGAUAUUAGAUAUGAAAAUAGUGUAGUGUUACAAAUAAAAUUGUCGUGAUAAGUUUUAGAAAAAAUGGAAUCCAUUGAUAUUGAGAAGAAAGAUAUGGCUACAACCGAUCCCUCAAGGUUCACAGUAAAAGAUUAUGUUGAUAUUGUGGAAAAGCAAAAGUAUCAAUUUGAUGCAUUCUUUUGCCUUAAAUUUUGGAGACCUAAGCCUAACUUACAUCCUGAAGCAACCAAGUUUAUUGCUGAUAGUAUACUUGAAAGUCCACGUAUGAAAGACGUCAUUCAUCAACUUCUCCUUGAAGGUCAUAAUGGUGUAAACAGCUAUGAAAACAUUGUUGUCCAAAUCAAAACCAUUUUGGAGGAAAUGGGUCAUACAUACAGUCUUGGUACUAUCCGUGUAAUUGGUUUUUUCCUUGCUAAGCUGCUGAGAAAUUUAUAUCAAGGUGUAGCAAUUAACAACUCUGCUGUCCUGAAGCUCAGUAAGGCAAUGUCUGAAGGACCUGUUUUAAUCUUACCCACACAUAGAAGCUAUGCAGAUUUUCUGCUAAUAUCAUAUCUUUGCUAUACUAUGGAUAUCCCUCUUCCUGUUAUUGCCGCGGGAAUGGAUUUUAAAGGAAUGAAAUUUGUGAAUCGUGUGCUGCAAAACGCGGGUGCUUUUUACAUCAGACGCUCGUUUGGUCAUGACCAACUUUAUUGGGCUGUGGUUUCUCAGUACAUUCAAUACCACAUCAAGAACUUUCAAGCUCCAAUUGAGUUUUUUCUUGAAGGAACACGAAGCAGAAACGGUAAAAGUUUGCCACCCAAAAUAGGUUUAUUAUCGAUGGCGUUGGAACCUUAUUUUAGGGGAGAUGUACCUGACAUUAAAAUUUGUACUGUCAGUAUUACCUAUGAGCGUACUCUUGAAGAAAAUCUGUAUGCGUGGGAGGCCCUUGGAGUUCCUAAGCCGAGAGAGUCUACUUCGGGUUUUUUGAGCGCCGUCGGGAAGAUCCGUGGACAGAAUUACGGUCAAAUCUAUGUUAAUGUCUCGGAUCCAAUUUCUGUUCGAGAUCAUAUAAGUAAGCGAACUGAACCAAAUUGGAACACACCGUCGUUUCGCUUUACAUUGAAUGAGUACGAGAAAAGUCGCAUUCAUUCCUUGGCCUGGAACUUGGUCUCUAAGCAACAGAAAGAUGCUAUCACACCAGUGUCUGCCGUUCUUAUGUCAGCACUGUCUGUGAAUAAACAACUCAACAUCGAUCAGCUUGUUGAAUAUGUCGUUUUGUUCAACUCGGUGUUGAAAAAGUAUGGAACCCCUUGUUUAGUCCAGGAUGAUACCGUAGUUCAAGCUAUUAAAGACUGUCUUGACGCCCAUAAGCUAAUCAUAUUUCGUGCCUCCAAUGAAUUCUUUAGUUGUCAACCGGCAAUUUCAGAAGGUGCUGAUAUUCAAAUUCUUGCAGCGGAUCGUUUAGUUUUGCAGCAGUACACUAAUCAGUUACUAGGACCACUGAUUAAUGUUGCCGUAUUCGGUAUAAUUGAAGCAAAAUGCGCUCGAGAGUCAAGUGAUAUUAUCAACGAAUCAAUGUUUUUUGCAAAGUAUUUUAAAGAUGAAUUUAUUUUAAUAACCAGCUAUACACAAAAUGAUAUCGCUUCCUUGAAUGAUGCAAGCAAUCCAAUGCUCAAGAAUGUUUUAGGUGUUUUGCUUCAACCAUUUUUGGAAUCUUUCUAUAUUAUUCUCCAUCUGAUUGCUAUGGGAUUCUCAACCAUUAAAGAGAUUCAACUUCAAUACAGGAAUGUGGUUAGCACUAUUUUGGCAGAAGGAGCCAGUAGCUUUCUUGAAAUUUUAGCGAUUGAUAAAAUUUCUCGUCAUGUGCUUAAUCUGGUUACCAACGGUCAUCUUUGUGCAGUGAAGACGGGUAAUAAUACCAGUUAUCAACAAAUGGACGAUAUUUCGCCCAUCAUAGUUAAAAUUGAAACUUAUUUGGACGAGCGGCUGAAGCGCUUCAUGGUAUCUCAUCGACAGAAAACCGUCCUAAUUCAGUCUCAUCUUUAAUAAUUUUUCUGAAAACUGCAAGAAUUUUUUUUGUCUUACCGGUUGCCUCAACUCAAAUUAAGAUCUUCGGCAGGGUCGUCGUCAUCCCGUUUGGUAACAAUCGGCUUGAAUAAUUAAAAAAUGAUUAUUUAGCUAUAAAAAUCAACUGGCAUCUUUACAAUUCAACCCUCUAUUUGCAUUUCCCCAAUGUGUGAGCUUAAAAUUAACACGGUGGUUGGUUUAAAAUGAUUCAAAAUCUCACUGACCUUGUGAGCAAACUGAGUCUCAAAUGUGUGAUGUAAAUAGUUUAUUUCACUUUUAUUCUCUCCACCUCUGGGUAUAAUUAUAGGGGAGCUCAAGUCGAAUCUGAGUUGAUGGCUAAAAUUAGAGUUGUAGCAAUUACUCUGCAUCAGUUACGCGUUCAUAACAUGGUUAAACUGUAGUUCAAUUAUUUACCUAAACUUUGUUGUGAAUGCCAAGUGUGAAAAUAGAUCUUUUGCGACCUUCA
rnacentral:misc_RNA from 1 species